rnacentral:rRNA from 1 species
CGUAGGGUGCGAGCGUUAAUCGGAAUUACUGGGCGUAAAGCGUGCGCAGGCGGUUUUGUAAGACAGAUGUGAAAUCCCCGGGCUCAACCUGGGACCUGCAUUUGUGACUGCAAGGCUAGAGUACGGUAGAGGGGGAUGGAAUUCCGCGUGUAGCAGUGAAAUGCGUAGAUAUGCGGAGGAACACCGAUGGCGAAGGCAAUCCCCUGGACCUGUACUGACGCUCAUGCACGAAAGCGUGGGGAGCAAACAGGAUUAGAUACCCUGGUAGUCCACGCCCUAAACGAUGUCAACUGGUUGUUGGGUCUUUACUGACUCAGUAACGAAGCUAACGCGUGAAGUUGACCGCCGUGGGGAGUACGGCCGCAAGGUUG